UAACGAAUCUUCCGCAAUGCACGAAAGUGUGACGGAGCGACGCCGCGUGUGGGACGAAGCCCUUCGGGGUGUAAACCACUGUCAGAGGAUAGAAAGUUCUGAUCAUCCUCAGAGGAAGGCACGGCUAACUCUGUGCCAGCAGCCGCGGUAAGACAGAGGUGCCAAGCGUUAGGCGGAAUCACUGGGCUUAAAGCGUGUGUAGGUGGACCUGUAAGUACCUUGUGAAAUCCCACGGCUUAACCGUGGAACUGCUCGGUAUACUGCGGGUCUUGAGGUACCUAGGGGCGAGCGGAACAAAUGGUGGAGCGGUGAAAUGCGUAGAUAUCAUUUGGAACGCCAAUGGUGAAAACAGCUCGCUGGGGGUAUCCUGACACUGAGACACGAAAGCCAGGGGAGCAAACGGGAUUAGAUACCCCCGUAGUCC
rnacentral:rRNA from 1 species